rnacentral:rRNA from 1 species
CAGCCGCCGCGGGAAUACAGAGGGUGCAAGCGUUAAUCGGAAUUACUGGGCGUAAAGCGCGCGUAGGUGGUUCGCCAAGUUGGAUGUGAAAUCCCCGGGCUCAACCUGGGAACUGCAUCCAAAACUGGCGAGCUAGAGUAUGGUAGAGGGUGGUGGAAUUUCCUGUGUAGCGGUGAAAUGCGUAGAUAUAGGAAGGAACAUCAGUGGCGAAGGCGACCACCUGGACUGAUACUGACACUGAGGUGCGAAAGCGUGGGGAACAAACAGGAUUAGAUACCCCCGUAGUCCCUGUCUCUUAUAC